GGAAUGUUUAGAUUUAUCUGUUUCAGCCAACACAAUGUCAGUUUGACUCUUUGCCUGACUGUAUAGUACAACACAUUUGUUUCUCUUCUUUGCAGUGAACAUCUUUUCCGACAGCUGUGCGCCAUACACUGGCUUUUGGAAGCUUUGACUCUUGAAUCCAACAGUUCAAUGCGUUCUAUAUUCACCUGUUGGAAUCCAACGGACCCUGGUGGCUGUAAAAAAACAGCAAAAGAAAUCGAAGAGGAAAAGUCAGCAAAGUACAUGUGGGAACUCUGUAUUACAAACGCAAAGGUAACUUCAUUGUUAAUUUCUUCCUUGGGACCUAAUCCAACUUUUCAAGCAUUUGUUUUGGUGCUUAAUUGAACUCCCUGAUACCACAUUUUAUGCUCUGGGCUUUGUGACUGCAGAGUACUUGUCUCUCUAGGUUUUGAAGAAUAACAAUUUGAUACUAGGUAACAGGACAAGCAGUAUGGAGCUGAUUGAAGCUGUGAUUGGUCUUGGUGAUAAGUACUGAUGUGGG
rnacentral:lncRNA from 1 species